UCUUUUACUUCUCUUCUUCGAAUAAAAUUAUUCCCACAACAUUAUUUUUUUAGAAAAAGCACUACAACAGAAUUAGAUUAUAGGGACACAUGUUUGGGACACUUUUGAGUAAGUGUCCCAUUUAUACUAAAACUUAAAAAAAUAUCUACUAAUGCCUAAAUAUAAAGUCCAAUCCAACUAAAAAUAAAAGAUUACUCUACUCAACCCACCACACCCAGUCCAUUUGGCCAGAUUACAAACAGAAAAAAAAGAAAAAUCAAUUGCCAUAUUUUCUUCUCUCUUCACUCAAUCCACUGAAAUUCUAGACGAAGAACCUUUCCUGUCGUCCUCCUCCGCCACCGCAGCCAACGAGAUAGAGUUUCGGCGGUUGCUAAAUACUUAAAUAAGUGUUGGUAAAUUAGCAGUACUUUUUUAGGUUAUAGCGACACUCUUUAACUGUCAUUAUAUACCUAGCGACCCCACAUAUAGCAACACUUUUUAAAAGUGUCGGUACUUUUAGCUAGGAGCACUUUUUUGACAUGUACCUAUAUUUAAAAGUGUCGCUAUAGAUCGUUUUUGUUGUAGUGAAGGACGGUGUACAAAAGUAAAAUAAAACUUUAUCAAUCAUGCUAUACCCCACAUAGCAGAGCCAAAUAGUAAGUAAACCAAAUAAUGCCACCUCUGCCACUUUUACAGUAUUCAUUUUCUAUCUUUUUUAAAAUGCCCUUACAAAAAGUUCUUCAUGUUCAUACCUUCAGUAAAAUAAAAAUUACAAUAUUUACUAAACAAAAAUUACAACAUUUGCGCAUGCCCAUUAAAAUGUUAUAUAAUUUAUAUCCCACAGCUCACUACAAUAAAAACGGUAUAUAGCGACACUUUCAAAUAUCGGUAUAGGUCAAAAAAAAUAUUGCUGGCUAAAUUACCAACACUUUUUAAAAGUGUUGCUAUAUGUGGAAUCGUUAUAGGUAGGGCCGCCUUGAUAUUUGGCACCCACUCUACCAGCGAUCUGUGGCGGAAGGAUACGUGGCGAUCAUAGCCCUCUACGGUCCCUGCGAGAUCCUCAUAGCUGAACUCCAGCUGCCAGAACCCUAUUUCAUCGGCUGCAGCGGCGGAAAAGAAAAAGGGAAGAUGGUGAUCAAUUUUUCUUUUUUUUUUCUUUUUAAUUUGAAAUUGGGCCAAGUGGGCUGGAUGUGAUUGAUUAAGUAGAGAAAUUUUUUAUUUUUGAUUGGAUUGAACUUUAUAUUUAAGUCUUAAUAAAUUUUGAAAAAGAAUCAUGACAUAAAUAUGACACUUAUAUAAAAAUGUUCUAAAUAUGUGUCCCUAUAAUCUAAUUUUGUUGUAGUACAGUACUUACACAUUCUUCAUAUGAAUUAGAAGAGUCAUUCAACUCAAGCGGAAAUUUUGGUUUAAAUUAGAGAUUUACCUAUCAAAAACCAAUUUUUCAGAGGGCAUAUAUACAUGACAUGAAAUAUAUAUUAACUCUUGUAAUUAAUUUGUAGUAGAUCACGUAACAAAAUGAGUUUAGUUUGAAGGGAUUGUAGAAAAGUCAAAAGAUGACAUUGUAGGAGCAUAUAUAUACCAACUUUAUUUUUUAUUUCUUUUCUUUUGGGAAAAAAGAUGUAGCAGGUGUAAACACCCACUUUGUUAGGGGUCUGCACGCAUAAUGAGAUUUCAUUAAUUAUUAAACCAGAUUAAUGGCACCGUUCGUUGCCGACUUAAUGCUGAUUUUUUUUUUUUUUGUAUAUAUCUAUCUAUCCAUCUAUAUAUAUAUAUAUAUAUAUAUAUAGUCUCAGAAACUGUUUCUGUAGCAAUAUUGUCCUUUGCUAUUUAAUACCUCUCCUACUACUGUGUUAGGCACAAUCAUAAUAGACACUUCGCGCACCUCUAUCUUGUCUUGGUCAAUAUUAUUUGCAUUGUUUAUGCAUACGAGUAUGUAUAUAUAUAUAUAUAGAGUCCGUCUACUAUACUUUCGAAAGUACCGGGACCUCCGUGCUUGUAAAUUAUUUUCGAUGAUAGGACAUCCGAUUCGACGAUCGGCUCCGUUAGGUAUAAUCUACCCUAUUGGAACUAUCUAGAAACCAAAUUUUAUAAUUUUUUGACACCAUUUACUAAGCGAUCAAAAGGUCCCAAAAAUGACUAUUUUAACGGCCGAUGCGGCACGUUUUUAAGUUCAACGGUGUAGAAAUAUCCAAAUUACAUGAAAAUUUAAUAGAAAAUUCUACUUAACGUCAAUAGCAAGAUCAAUACUUCCGAUUUGAAAUUUGAGUCCUUUAUCAUUAUUUUUUAUAAGAUUUUUAUUUUCAGCCGUUCAUUUUGAGGCUACUCGUUCACUAGGCAAAAGAAGUCAAAAAAUUAUGAAAUUUGGUUUCUAGAUAGUUCCAAUAGCUUAGAUCAUGUCUAACGGAACCGAUCACCGAAUUGGACGUCCCAUCAUCGAAAACAAUUUACAAGUACGGAGGCCCCCGUACUUUCGAAAGCAUAGGAGCCUAGCUCUAUAUAUAUAUAUAUAUAUAUAUAUAUAUAUAUGGUGUGAAAUAUGGUGAAGAUAAGAUGAAUUAUUAAUUUUACGUACAUUGUUUGUAAAAUAAUGAAAGUGACAAUUAAUACAUAGAUGUUUAUAUUUCAAAUAAUGGAUGUACAAAUAAGUUAACUCAUGACGUCCUAGUGCUGAUGGGACUUACGACUAACUCUUAUACCAUAUUAUCUAUGAAAGUGUUUCAAUAUAUAGAUCAGAAAAUAAUUCAAGAAUUGUGCAUAUAUAUAUAUAUAUAGUAAAACCAUAAACAUACUCUUAAAUUGAGCGUGCAAUGGAGACAAUAUCGAACUCUUUUAAAUUUGUUACACAGGAAAAUAUAAUAUAUACAAAAAAAAAAGACAAAUUUGCAAUAAAAUUGUUUACAUAUAUAGGAAAUUAAUAAAUUUUGUCCAUGAAAUUUUUCGGCCUUAAAGAGAUCCAUUUGGGGUUACUCCACAUCAAGCCCAUAGGAGUUAGAAAAGAGGAAUAUACAACUGCAUGGCCCAUGGCCCAAUCUUAUUAAUUAGACACCAAAACAGAGAGGUUGAAAUGCCCAAAUCAAUUAUUUAAUGUAUACUAAUAAUAAUUUACACACCAAGUAACUAAGAAAGAACAGCAAGGAUUUACAAUAUAUUUUUUACAUCCACGUACCGUAGCCGCCGUGCAUGCACGCGAGCUUUCAAAAACUUUGCGUGUAGAAACUAAAAGAUACAUAUCAAUCACGCAAUUUUACUCAAAACACAGAUGUUCAACAUAAAAAGCUCGAUCCGAUCAGAGCAAUCGAGCCAGGCUUAUAGAACAAUCGACUAUCACACUUAGAGAACAACAGAACCUGAUUGCGUAUGUACAUGCAUAACAGGUGCAUGUAUUCGAAGAUUACGUAAGAUAAAGGAAGAACCUAGCUACGUACAAUCAUAAAGUUUCACCAACGCGCGCAACACCUCGAUUUUUCAUUGAAUCAACAAGAUAAUUAAUUAUUAUAGACUUAAAGUUGCAAAACCAAAAAAUAGAUAGAAAAAUUUUAUUUUUAUUUAAGAAAAGGCCUUGUUGGCUUGUUCUAUAUACUACCUACCUCUAAAGCUGUACAAAGAAGCCACGGUCUCGAACUCUUCUUCUUAAUUUUGGUGCCGAGACAUGUCAAGUCGUUUGUCGUUUGGGUGCGGACACGCGACCUUAAUUAAUACAACUUGGGGAGGACAAAAUAAACCCGAACUCUUCUUAGGUCGUAGGAUAUAUUAAUGGUACGUGCAAACUCACAACCCACAGGUUUCGCAUAUGUAGGAAUUAUGAGCAUGCAAUAAUUGAUUAACCCAUAUUUGCGGCAAAAAAUUUUGAAUUAAUAAAUUUUACGAUUUUUCAAUAUUAUUGAUCAAGCCAGCGAAAUGAUUCAAAAUUAUGGGCACGCAUAUAUGUACGCAUGUAAUCCAACAAUUUAUUCAUUAUUAGGUGCAUGCACAUUGAUCCAAUAAUGAACUAGCUUACCUGAGAUUAAUUAGGCUGUACAUGUCCAUUAAUUAUGUAGUUUAGCUGAGGUGACAGCUGCACUGACAAAUAAAGAUUUAAAUGUCUAUCGGUACAGACCGUAUUUACCGUGUUAUAUUGUGCAAGUAAAAUAUCAAUAUGAUACAGUCCUCGUACCGAUAGUACAAUUCAAAACCCUCUAUUUUUUAAAUUAGUAAGUAAUUUUUUCAAUAAAAUUUAAAAAAUUUGAUAAAAAUAUAUAAUAAAUAAUAGGCAUAUUUUGUUGUUAAAAAAAAUAAAUAUUUCAUAUCAUUACGUGUCGGCACACAUAUAUUUUUUGUGACUGGCAUAUAUCUACAUGAUCCGUCACGUACCAUGCCGUACCAUAGUGAUAAGUUUCCAGCACGAUCUCAUGCCGCAACACUUAAAUUCUUGCUUACAGAUAACUCUGUGAAGUCAGUGAAGCACGUGUUCUAAUCGUACAUCUCAUUUUAAGUAAAAUCUCUAGAUCUAAUCGUACAUCUCAUUUUAAGUAAAAUCUCUAAAUACAGAUUGUAUUUUUUUGUUAGAAAUUAUAAGAUUUGUUUUAGAGGAUUAAUAAAGAAAGUGAGAUUCACAUUCAGCAUGGAGUUCUUGUAGUUUGUUAGUAGUUUCUUCGCCUAAAAAUAGUAAUUAAUAUCAAUGAGUCUACCUGUAUUGAAAUGUCUAAGUGAGAGUACAAGUGUAUACAAUGAUUAAAUUAUUCUUUAUUGAUUUGUGCUACCAAUCGAACUUACGUAUAUUUAUUAGUGUUAUUGGAACUUCAACAUCUAUUUCUAUUUCUCUACAUUAUUUCUUUUUUUCUCUACAUUAAAGGAGGGUUUGGGGGGACCUUGGGGUGACACGUGUCCCCCCAAACCCCCCUUUACUCUCUCUCCCUCUAUAUAUAUAUAUAUAUAUAUAUAUAUAUAUAUUGAUAUCAAAAUUUAAAAUUUUGANNNNNNNNNNNNNNNNNNNNNNNNNNNNNNNNNNNNNNNNNNNNNNNNNNNNNNNNNNNNNNNNNNNNNNNNNNNNNNNNNNNNNNNNNNUUUUUUAAAAUUAUUUUGAUAUAUUUAUCACAAAUCUUUUUUCGCAUAAAUCUUUAUAAAAUAAGUUGUCGUUUUAAUAAAUUUUAUUUAAAUAAAAUUAACUAUUAAAUUAUUUUUAUAUAACUUUUAUUUAAUUAAUAAUUAGACUUAUAAAAUUAUUUAAAAAUAUAAAAAACUAAAAUUUAUUAAAAAAAAAUUUUAAAUCCGCAGCAUCGCGCGGGUAUUUCACUAGUUAUAUAAGUACUAUUUGACUCUCUUCAAAAAAAAAGAAAAAAGAGAAAAGAAAAAAGAAUUCAACUAUAUAUGUUCAAAAACACUAAUUAGCCAGAGUUUUUCGCUUUUAAAAAUUCAUACUUUUAUAUUAUAUGUCUUAAUAAUUGCCAUUGAUUGGUUUCUAACAAUUACGUACCUUUUUAUUUCAUGAUCAAAUAAAAAUAUUACUGAUCUACGUUACAUAAAAGAUCAAUUGUUUUCACCAGGUACAUUACAUAUAUUUCCACAUCAAGACAAGCAUAACUAAUAAUAGAAUAGUACCGACCGUUCCUAGAGCAAGUGGUAAAGGGUUUGGUGGUUGAUACACGAAACCCAAGUUCGAAUCCAAGUUGAUUCACAUUUCUAGCUAAAUUUAUUUCUAAAUGAAAUAAACGAAGCGAAUAGCAUGCUAUCUAUCUCUCUCAAAAAAAAAAGGAAAAAAAUAGUGAGCAUAAGUUUUAAUUAAUAAAUAAAUAUAUAUAUCUUGUACAAAUUACAGUCUCUAUUUUGAUAUUAAUUGAAGUACUCCUUUAUGCAUAUAGAUAUAAUUAAAUUCGACUCAUUGAUUAUAUUGUACUACAAAUGUUUGAGAAACAAAAGAAGCAUACGUUAAGAAAAGCACCAAAGUUGUACUAAUUAAUGCUAAUACACUUUAGUCAUAUCAUAAAAAGACAAAAUUCAAUUAUUUUUUUAAAAAUAAAAUAUUGCUUCAAGUUCGUACUUUUAAUUAGUCAUAUCAUUAAAAAGACAAAAUUUAAUUUUUUUUUAAAGAAAAAUAAUAUAUUGCUACAUAUUCAUACUUAACUCAGACCUAUGUAAGUCCAAAAUGUGAUAAAUUUAUUAGAAUUCAUCGAACUCAAAAGCUUAAAAUUAAUUUGACACGGAAUUGUGAAUCACCCAAUUAAUUUCCUUUUGAACUCAAUUAAUCCUCCAAUCUUAUCAAAAUUCAUCUAGUGCCACGAGUUUUCAUCAAUCAAUUUUAACUCUUAUUUAUUAUUUUGUUGUAAUUUGUUUUAGAUUAAUUAAAAGAAAAUAAUAACUUCUCCUUGAUCUAUGAUCAUUAAUUUACAUCUUUCUCUGUUGAAAUUUAAAGCUUUGAAUUUCAAGUCAUUCAGAAGGUCUAAUUACAUGUAAAUCACUAGAGAAAUCUUGCAGCUAGAGCAAGUGGCAAAGGGUUUGAUAGUUGGUACCCGAGACCCAAGUUCGAAUCCUAGUUGAUUCACAUUUCCAGCUAAGUUUAUUUCUAAAUGAAAUAAACGAAACAGAUAGUGUGCUAUCUAUCUCUCAAAAAAAAAAAAAAUCUUGCAGCACAAUUCGAAAAUGAUUCAAUUUUAGCAAUCACUUAAAUAUAUAAUUGUAAAUUAAUUUGCUUAAAACAUUAAUUAUAAACAUUUGAUUUUCCUCGAUUCAUCAUUAAUUGUUUACUUUUUUAUUUAGGUGUGUUCCAUGUUAAUUGCUUCCACAAUUUAAUAAAUUAAGGCACCGUCGUUGGGGUCUUUAAUUGUAAGAUUCUAACACUCACAUAAACUUUAUACUGAUACAUUUCACAAGAUACUCAUAGGUAAUAUUUCACGUACGCACCUCAUUCGCAUACACUAUCUAAAAUACUAAUAUAUAUGUCAGUAAUGCGUAACCAAUCAUUGGUGACGAAUCAGAAUACGCAACGGAAACUAAUAAUUCACGUUGAACAUGUCGGAUUUUUGUGAGGUGAUAGUGUUGCCGACUAAUUAAUAAAAAGAAGGUCAAAAACAACUGUAGGGAACACGGAACGUACGUGAGGAUCGAUACAUCCCAUCAUGCACGUUGAUGAAUUCAAUUUGGUGCAUGCAUGUGAUCCACGUAAUUUGUUUAGCACAUGCGUACGUGAUGUGUUGCUCACAUGGCCCUAUUAUUAUUGUAGGGUUGUUUAGUAAAGUUAUGUUUUGGAUAACGCUGUUAAAAAAAGUGCUAUAUCAAUAUCUCUUUAAUGAUACUUUCGUACUGUAAAAUUAUGAGCUCUAAGCUAUUGGAAGCGACAUCUAGCUAGGGGUAUAGAAUCUCAUUUUAUUGUUCUUCCCUAGCAAAAAUUUUAAACUCCUUUGUUGGUCAAAUGUUCUAUGUAUCAUAUGUAUUAUUUGCGAUAAAACGCGUAAAAAAGAUAUAUGCCUCUAGGUGCUUAUAUGUUAAUAUAGCUUAGCUUUUGGAAUAAUGUUCGUUUAAAAGAAAAUUUAGCAAGUAAUCAACUGUCGAAACAAGUUAUUAAAGAGAUUUUCACGAAAAAUCUGUUAAUGCUUUUUCUAACAAUUUUACUAGCUAAUUAACCCAAUUCCUUAAUUAACAAGAGCUUCAGCUUGGUACAUAUGCAUAUGGCCAUCUAAAUCGCAAAUUUAGUCGUCAAAUUAAUUGGUUCAAAAACAUAAACGUGACGAGGUGAAGGUCCAAACCCUUAAACUUGAUUAAUAUUACCGAUUUUAAUCACUAGUCUAACUAUUUAUUUCAUUUCCUGCCAAAAUCACCCACUUCCCAAAAUACUUAAGCCCAAAUCACUAUUAUAAAGUAAUAUGCUUGUCACGUAUUAUAUAUCCCUCGUACUAUUCCAUAUUAUCGGAUGUGAAAAACAAUUAACUUGUCGUAGAUAAAGUACCCCUAGCUAUAUAUAAAAGCUGCUUCUUUUUAUCUGUUUCCCCUUAUAUGUAACACCAUUUUCAAUUAAUUGUAACACUCAAUAUGAGUUUGAAACCAAUAUGAAUCACUUUAUCAUCAAAAAAAUCAAGUAAUAUCAAAAAUGAAAGUGGAAUAUUAAUUAGUUGUGAGCCAUGCAUGAACAUUGCUUGUAUCUUGUUUGAGCUCGUUAAUACGAAAUAAAAUGCUUAUCUUUGUGCUCCAAUUUAUAAUAGUUAACUUUUUUUUAAAAGAGCUAGAAAAAGAAUAAAAAAAAGGGCCCAAGAUGAUUAAAGAUAUAUAUAAAUAGAUAGUGUAGAGCUACUAUACUAUUAGAAUCAUAAAAGAGUUGGUACUUCCGAUUUUUUUAGCUAUUGUGUUAAGAAUUGUAGUAUUAGAACGAUAGGAUUUAGUGAUCCCCUAAAAUAAUGGUAUUAAUUCAAGGACUAGAUAUAUGUGAUCAAAGGAGUUGAUUCAAAGGUUAAAAAAUUAAAAGCAUCAUAUGAGUGGUGCUUCCGAAAGCAGUAUGGUCGGACUCUCUCUCUCUCUAUAUAUAUAUAUAUACUUUGGGACUGGGUAGCUAUUCAUGGCUCUGACCCAACCCAACUCGAUCGGAUGUCACAUACACACAAAAAACACUACAAAUCUUGGCUCGGUUCGGAUUUUCUCCAAACUCUUAUUUUCAGGUCUGGUCCAGCAUAGUAAAUAAGGUCGAAUAUGAACCGAUCCGUAGCAACUCGGGCCCUGUCGAGUCCAAUUUACUCAGGUCUAGUUCCAUUUUCCCACGUUUGUGGAGUGGAAAUUUAAAAAACGAACAAAAAAGGAAAUGGAAUAAAACCAUAGUCUUUACGAUUUGUCAAAAACAAAUGAUAUUUUAGCUCGUGAAAUUACCAAAAACUCCGUUACAUUUUGGGUACUUUUUUACAAUCCUAUGAUAAAACCUUUCUAAAUAGCAGUGCGAUAAUGAUGGAAUCGGCACAACCAAAAUACUAAUCACACUUAUAAAUAAAUGUGAUGUAUCUAAAUUCUCCACAAUCAAGAUAUACAAAAUUGGAGUAAAUGACGUUGAAAGAGAAAAAUCCAAGUAACAUUGAAAGAGAAAAAUCCAAGUACAUCCAGAAUAAUGCAAAAAGAUUUACGUGGUCCACUCAAAUCAGGCUACAUUCAUGAACACUAAGAGAUCAAAUUUACUACCAAACUGAGGAGAUUAUAAGACUUGGAUAGAGAUUACCAUUCUAUUACAAUAGAAUUGCAACCUUCUAAUGAAAAUUCUUUCUUGCUAUACCUUCUUUGGAGCACCUUCUGAUUCUACGAAUUCCGCUUCGGAAUGCCUCUAAGAAAUUCUCCAAUUAACCUUGAAAGCUUU
rnacentral:lncRNA from 1 species